rnacentral:snRNA from 1 species
GCGGCUUCUCGGCCUUUUGGCUAAGAUCAAAUGUAGUAUCUGUUGUUGAUUUGCAUUAAAAAGAAGCUGCCACGGUGCUUCCUAGGAGUUCUAGUUCUUUGAAAGGCACCCUAUGU